GCCCCCGUAGCUCAAUGGAUAGAGCGUGCGGUUUCUAACCGCCCGAUGUGGGUUCGAUUCCUACCGGGGGCA
rnacentral:tRNA from 1 species